rnacentral:rRNA from 1 species
GCAGUAGCCACGGGAAUACGUAGGGCGCAAGCGUUAUCCGGAAUUAUUGGGCGUAAAGAGCUCGUAGGCGGUUUGUCGCGUCUGCCGUGAAAGUCCGGGGCUCAACCCCGGAUCUGCGGUGGGUACGGGCAGACUAGAGUGAUGUAGGGGAGACUGGAAUUCCUGGUGUAGCGGUGAAAUGCGCAGAUAUCAGGAGGAACACCGAUGGCGAAGGCAGGUCUCUGGGCAUUAACUGACGCUGAGGAGCGAAAGCAUGGGGAGCGAACAGGAUUAGAUACCCCUGUAGUCCCUGUCUCUUAUAC